UGCUGGACACAGGGCUCAGAGAAAGGCUGGCUGGAGUUCUGGGCUCCUCCAUUUCCAUCCAGUUUGAAGCAGGCAGCUGUGCCCGAGGAAGCAUCAUCUCUAUCUACACUGAGCCACCCCCAGUCCGUGGUAUCCCAGAAAACAGAGGUCUUUGGAGUGUGGAGACAGGCUGGGCUCCAGUGCUGAUUGGGCUUCUGCUGCUUUCCAUGUUCCCCAUUCCAUCAAGUGGAGCCUGAUGUCAGCCGCAGCGGGUCCCAGAAAACUUCUCAGCAAUCUGCUGGUUUUUAUUUUGCAAACCUGGACCAAACCACGUGGAGGUGCACAUCCCUGGGGCCCGAACAGUGUUAAUCGUGAGGGUUUUUAGGA